UUUUAUAUGGUGUAGUGGCACAAGGAGUUUUGAUCUCCUAGGUAUAGGAUUAAACCUUUUAUAGGUC
rnacentral:tRNA from 1 species